UACGAAGGGGGCUAGCGUUGCUCGGAAUCACUGGGCGUAAAGCGCACGUAGGCGGCUUUUUAAGUCGGUGGUGAAAUCCUGGAGCUCGAACUCCAGAACUGCCUCCGAUACUGAAAGGCUCGAGUCCGGGAGAGGUGAGUGGAACUGCGAGUGUAGAGGUGAAAUUCGUAGAUAUUCGCAAGAACACCAGUGGCGAAGGCGGCUCACUGGCCCGGUACUGACGCUGAGGUGGCGAAAGCGUGGGGAGCAAACAGGG
rnacentral:rRNA from 1 species